UACGAAUGGAGCGAGCGUUGUUCGGAAUCACUGGGCGUAAAGGGUGCGCAGGCGGUUAUGAAAGUUAGAAGUGAAAGCCCAGGGCUCAACCCUGGAACUGCUUUUAAAACUCCAUAACUUGAGUACUGGAGAGGUUGGCGGAAUUCCGAGUGUAGAGGUGAAAUUCGCAGAUAUUCGGAGGAACACCAAUGGCGUAGGCAGCCAACUGGACAGUUACUGACGCUCAUGCACGAAAGCGUGGGGAUCAAACAGG
rnacentral:rRNA from 1 species